AGCGAACGCUGGCGGCAGGCCUAACACAUGCAAGUCGAACGAACUCUUCGGAGUUAGUGGCGGACGGGUGAGUAACACGUGGGAACGUGCCUUUUGGUUCGGAAUAACUCAGGGAAACUUGUGCUAAUACCGAAUGUGCCCUUCGGGGGAAAGAUUUAUCGCCAUUAGAGCGGCCCGCGUCUGAUUAGCUAGUUGGUGAGGUAACGGCUCACCAAGGCGACGAUCAGUAGCUGGUCUGAGAGGAUGACCAGCCACACUGGGACUGAGACACGGCCCAGACUCCUACGGGAAGCAGCAGUGGGGAAUCUUGCGCAAUGGGCGAAAGCCUGACGCAGCCAGGCCGCGUGAAUGAUGAAGGUCUUAGGAUUGUAAAAUUCUUUCACCGGGGACGAUAAUGACGGUACCCGGAGAAGAAGCCCCGGCUAACUUCGUG
rnacentral:rRNA from 1 species